GGGGUCAGGAAGGCUUUAUGACUAGGCAGCCACAUCUACACAGACUAACAGGCAGAGCUAGUGAGACUAAAAGAUGAAGAGAUAAGAUGGAGGAAGACAACGAUGACAACACAGCAGCUGGAGGAGGAGGAGAGUCUGAAACCAAAUCUGUACCAUCUGCAGCCAAUAAGAAUGUGAAACCUAAACUCACACUUGUGUUAAUUGGUGACAAGAAUGUAAUUGAGAUUGGAUC